rnacentral:lncRNA from 1 species
AUUGUGCAGGCUACUACGUUCCUUGAUGCUGCCACAAUCAAGAAGUUGAAGGGUGUCCUUGGUGGCACCAACUAAUUAAGUUUUAGCGACUUAUUUGGAAAUGAGGCGUAGUUAUUGUCCUUGGAAUAAGUUUCGACACAAAACAUUGGGUCUUUAAUUUGUUUAGUUUCACUUUAGUAUUUUUUUUGAAAAUUUUAUGUUUUUGAUGUCUUGUAUGUUUUGUUUGUGCGUCAUGUUUAAGUGUCAAUUAUCAGAGUUGAAUUUUGCUUCUUCUGGACUUUCUAGGACUUUGGUAAUUUGUUUUAUAAAUUCAGUUUAAGUAAUUUGUUUUCUUCAGUUGCUUUUUGAACGUCGAAUUUCCAAAUGUAAGUCUCACGAGCACGCAAAAACCAACAAUGUAAUAGUCUAUUUCGCAGAUAGAGACAGAUCUAAGAUUUCUAAAAUAAAGGUAAAUUACUAAAAAGCGAGCCUUGGAUAAAUAUAACGGAACAUUCAACCAAGUCAACGUUCAACUUUUUUGGAGCAUGAGCACAAAGACGAAUGUCGAGCUGUAAUAUUCGGUUCAAGUGAACCCAAUACUUUUAAAGCGAACCA